UUCAGGCUGGGGUAUAAGCUGAAGU
rnacentral:piRNA from 1 species